rnacentral:rRNA from 1 species
AGAGUUUGAUCAUGGCUCAGAUUGAACGCUGGCGGCAGGCCUAACACAUGCAAGUCGAGCGGUAGCACAGAGAGCUUGCUCUCGGGUGACGAGCGGCGGACGGGUGAGUAAUGUCUGGGAAACUGCCUGAUGGAGGGGGAUAACUACUGGAAACGGUAGCUAAUACCGCAUAAUGUCGCAAGACCAAAGUGGGGGACCUUCGGGCCUCAUGCCAUCAGAUGUGCCCAGAUGGGAUUAGCUAGUAGGUGGGGUAACGGCUCACCUAGGCGACGAUCCCUAGCUGGUCUGAGAGGAUGACCAGCCACACUGGAACUGAGACACGGUCCAGACUCCUACGGGAGGCAGCAGUGGGGAAUAUUGCACAAUGGGCGCAAGCCUGAUGCAGCCAUGCCGCGUGUGUGAAGAAGGCCUUCGGGUUGUAAAGCACUUUCAGCGGGGAGGAAGGCGGUGAGGUUAAUAACCUCACCGAUUGACGUUACCCGCAGAAGAAGCACCGGCUAACUCCGUGCCAGCAGCCGCGGUAAUACGGAGGGUGCAAGCGUUAAUCGGAAUUACUGGGCGUAAAGCGCACGCAGGCGGUCUAUCAAGUCGGAUGUGAAAUCCCCGGGCUCAACCUGGGAACUGCAUUCGAAACUGGCAGGCUAGAGUCUUGUAGAGGGGGGUAGAAUUCCAGGUGUAGCGGUGAAAUGCGUAGAGAUCUGGAGGAAUACCGGUGGCGAAGGCGGCCCCCUGGACAAAGACUGACGCUCAGGUGCGAAAGCGUGGGGAGCAAACAGGAUUAGAUACCCUGGUAGUCCACGCCGUAAACGAUGUCGAUUUGGAGGUUGUGCCCUUGAGGCGUGGCUUCCGGAGCUAACGCGUUAAAUCGACCGCCUGGGGAGUACGGCCGCAAGGUUAAAACUCAAAUGAAUUGACGGGGGCCCGCACAAGCGGUGGAGCAUGUGGUUUAAUUCGAUGCAACGCGAAGAACCUUACCUGGUCUUGACAUCCACAGAACUUAGCAGAGAUGCUUUGGUGCCUUCGGGAACUGUGAGACAGGUGCUGCAUGGCUGUCGUCAGCUCGUGUUGUGAAAUGUUGGGUUAAGUCCCGCAACGAGCGCAACCCUUAUCCUUUGUUGCCAGCGGUUAGGCCGGGAACUCAAAGGAGACUGCCAGUGAUAAACUGGAGGAAGGUGGGGAUGACGUCAAGUCAUCAUGGCCCUUACGACCAGGGCUACACACGUGCUACAAUGGCAUAUACAAAGAGAAGCGACCUCGCGAGAGCAAGCGGACCUCAUAAAGUAUGUCGUAGUCCGGAUUGGAGUCUGCAACUCGACUCCAUGAAGUCGGAAUCGCUAGUAAUCGUAGAUCAGAAUGCUACGGUGAAUACGUUCCCGGGCCUUGUACACACCGCCCGUCACACCAUGGGAGUGGGUUGCAAAAGAAGUAGGUAGCUUAACCUUCGGGAGGGCGCUUACCACUUUGUGAUUCAUGACUGGGGUGAAGUCGUAACAAGGUAACCGUAGGGGAACCUGCGGUUGGAUCACCU